UACGUAGGGCGCAAGCGUUGUCCGGAAUUAUUGGACGUAAAGAGCUCGUAGGCGGCUUGUCACGUCGAUUGUGAAAGCCCGAGGCUUAACCUCGGGUCUGCAGUCGAUACGGGCUAGCUAGAGUGUGGUAGGGGAGAUCGGAAUUCCUGGUGUAGCGGUGAAAUGCGCAGAUAUCAGGAGGAACACCGGUGGCGAAGGCGGAUCUCUGGGCCAUUACUGACGCUGAGGAGCGAAAGCGUGGGGAGCGAACAGG
rnacentral:rRNA from 1 species